UCGAGCGAGCGGAACUACAGAUUUACUUCGGUAAUGACGUUAGGAAAGCGAGCGGCGGAUGGGUGAGUAACACGUGGGGAACCUGCCCCAUAGUCUGGGAUACCACUUGGAAACAGGUGCUAAUACCGGAUAAGAAAGCAGAUCGCAUGAUCAGCUUUUAAAAGGCGGCGUAAGCUGUCGCUAUGGGAUGGCCCCGCGGUGCAUUAGCUAGUUGGUAAGGUAAAGGCUUACCAAGGCGAUGAUGCAUAGCCGAGUUGAGAGACUGAUCGGCCACAUUGGGACUGAGACACGGCCCAAACUCCUACGGGAGGCAGCAGUAGGGAAUCUUCCACAAUGGACGCAAGUCUGAUGGAGCAACGCCGCGUGAGUGAAGAAGGUUUUCGGAUCGUAAAGCUCUGUUGUUGGUGAAGAAGGAUAGAGGUAGUAACUGGCCUUUAUUUGACGGUAAUCAACCAGAAAGUCACGGCUAACUACGUGCCAGCAGCCGCGGUAAUACGUAGGUGGCAAGCGUUGUCCGAAUUUAUUGGGCGUAAAGCGAGCGCAGGCGGAAGAAUAAGUCUGAUGUGAAAGCCCUCGGCUUAACCGAGGAACUGCAUCGGAAACUGUUUUUCUUGAGUGC
rnacentral:rRNA from 1 species